rfam:Oryza punctata chromosome 12, whole genome shotgun sequence.
CUACCGUGCAGCUAUAAGUUUCUGUGUCCAACUUUGAUCAUCUGUCUUAUUUAAAAUUUUUAUGAUUAGUAUUUUUAUUGUUACUAGAUGAUAAAACAUGAAUAAUACUUUAUACGUAACUUAUAUUUUUUAAUUUUUUUAAAAAAUUUUAACGGACGAUUAAAGUUAGACAUGGAAACUCGUGGCUGCGCUUAAA